ACUAUGCCAUCUAUUAUCUUUUCAUCUUUUUAUUUUGAAAUUUUGAAAGAAGUUAAAUCUUAUUAAUGAACUUAUUAAUAGCUUUUUGACAAGCCUUAACAUAUAUAAAAUGAAGUUGUGACAAAAGAAAUCUAAGAAAAUUUGUAGGAAGGAGAUUGCUAGAAUUUUUAAGCAAUAAGUUUCAAAAGAAAUGUGAAAUUUUUCAUGCCUUUUAUUAUAUUUUUUUAUUGAAUUUUAGAAAGAAGAUAAAUCUUAUUUUUAACUUUUUAAUAAGCCUUAACAUAAAAAAAAUAGAAUUAUAACAAGAGAGAAUCAAGAAAAUUUAUAAA
rnacentral:lncRNA from 1 species